rnacentral:rRNA from 1 species
UAGAGCGUGACAGGUAAGCGAAAUCUAAGGAAAGUAGCGAAGCACAUGAUGACGGCUUCCAGGAAAAGCUUCUGGCAAUGCUUAUGCGGCCCGUACCAAAACCGACACAGGUGGGCAGGGAGAGAAUCCCGUGUUGAGCGAGAGAACUGUUCCCAAGGAACUCGGCAAAAUGACUCCGUAAGUUAGCGAGAAGGAGUUCUUAAGCAAUUAAGCCGCAGUGAAGAGGCCCAAGCGACUGUUUAACUAAAACACAGCUCUCUGCGAAGUCGCAAGACGAAGUAUAGGGGGUGACACCUGCCCGGUGCUGGAAGGUUAAGAGGAUCUGUUAAGAGCGAUCUGAAGCAGUGAUCCGAAGCCCCAGUGAACGGCGGCCGUAACAAUAACGGUCCUAAGGUAGCGAAAUUCCUUGUCAGGUAAGUUCUGACCCGCACGAAAGGUGUAACGAUUUGGGCGCUGUCUCGGCAGCAGACUCGGUGAAAUCUUAGUACCUGUGAAAAUGCAGGUUACUCGCAACUAGACGGAAAGACCCCAUGGAGCUUUACUGCAGCCUGAUAUUGAAUUCUGGUCAUACAUGUACAGGAUAGGUGGGAGACAAAGAGACGUGCACGCCAGUGUACGAGGAGUCGACGUUGGGAUACCACUCUUGUGUGACCGGGGUUCUAACCUGGUAUCGAGAACAGGUACGGGGAGAAUGUCAGGUGGGCAGUUUGACUGGGGCGGUCGCCUCCCAAAGAGUAACGGAGGCGCCCAAAGGUACGCUCAGAUUGGAUGGAAACCAAUCGACGAGUGCAAUUGCAGAAGCGUGCUUGACUGUGAGACAAACAAGUCGAACAGGGACGAAAGUCGGGAAUAGUGAUCCGGCGGUGCCGAAUGGAAGGGCCGUCGCUCAACGGAUAAAAGCUACCCUGGGGAUAACAGGCUGAUCUCGCCCAAGAGUUCACAUCGACGGCGAGGUUUGGCACCUCGAUGUCGGCUCAUCGCAUCCUGGAGCUGGAUUCGGUUCCAAGGGUUGGGCUGUCCGCCCAUUAAAGCGGUACGCGAGCUGGGUUCAGAACGUCGUGAGACAGUUCGGUCCCUAUCUGUUGUGGGCGAAGGAGAUCUGCGGAGAGCUGUCCUCAGUACGAGAGGACCGGGAUGGACCUACCGCUGGUGCACCGGUUGUUCCGCCAGGGGCAUAGCCGGGUAGCUAAGUAGGGAAAGGAUAAGCGCUGAAAGCAUCUAAGCACGAAGCCUACUCCAAGAUGAGAUCUCCCAUUCGCAAGAAGUAAGACCCCUUAAAGACGAUAAGGUAGAUAGGCCAGGGAUGGAAGUGCAGUGAUGUACGGAGUUGACUGGUACUAAUCGGUCGAGGACUU